rnacentral:lncRNA from 1 species
GGGCGAUGCAGAGGCAGCCGGCAAACGCUCAGCAUUGCUAAGCAGUUUGGAGUGGAGACAGAGGGAGCGCGGCUGUUUGCGCCAGGCAGCGGUGUUGCUGGGGUUUCUCUCUCUCCUCUGUGUUCCUCUUGCUGAAGGAAACGGCAUUGGAGCUUUUGAGCCGACUUCAAGUGCAUUCAACAGAGACUUGAGGACCUCACAACUCAGCAGCACCGAGGAACAAAGUGACGCGCAGCAGCCGAGCAGAGCAGGACGCUCCUCUCAUGGCUGCUCUGAACCAGCCAGCAGGGAGCCAGCAUGGGACAGGGACAGGAGCACACAGACAUCAGUUCUUACUUACUUAGCCA